GCCGCGAAUUCGCCCUUCGGAGAGGGAGCAUGAGAAACCCUUACAAGAUCCAAGGAAGGCAGCAGGCGCGCAAAUUACCCAUUCCCGACACGGGGAGGUAGUGACAAUAUGUAACAAUAUACGGCUUUAUUGUCGUAUAAUUGGAAUGAGUACAAUUUAAAUCCCUUAACGGGGAACAAUUGGAGGGCAAGUCUGGUGCCAGCAGCCGCGGUAAUUCCAGCUCCAAUAGCGUAUAUUAAAGUUGUUGCAGUUAAAAAGCUCGUAGUUGGACCUUGGGCCUGGACAGGCGGUCCGCCUCACGGCGUGUACUGUCUUGCUGGGCCUUUCCUCUUGGUGAUCUGUGGUUUCGGCCGCAGGGAACCAGGACCUUUACUUUGAAAAAAUUAGAGUGUUCAAAGCAGGCUUUACGCCAGAAUAUAUUAGCAUGGAAUAAUAAAAUAGGACGUGCGGUUCUAUUUUGGUGGUUUUUGGGAUCGCCGUAAUGAUUAAGAGGGACAGUCCGGGGCAUUAGUACUCACAUGCUAUAGGUGAAAUUCUUGGAUUUCGUGAAGACUAACUUCUGCGAAAGCAUUUGUCAAGGAUGUUU
rnacentral:rRNA from 1 species